GCACCCAUGGAGUAGAAGUUAACUCGUUCCCCUUCCAUGGACUUAGCUAAGUGGUAAGGUAAGGGAAAGACCCGGGUGCAAGUCCCGAUGGGUGCA